UACGUAGGCGGAAGAUUAAGUCAGUGGUGAAAUCCUGCAGCUUAACUGUAGAACUGUCAUUGAUACUGGUUUUCUUGAAUUUAGUUGAGGUAGGCGGAAUGUGUAAUGUAGCGGUGAAAUGCUUAGAUAUUACACAGAACACCGAUUGCGAAGGCAGCUUACUAAUCUAUGAUUGACGCUGAGGUACGAAAGCGUGGGGAGCGAACAGGAUUAGAUACCCUGGUAGUCC
rnacentral:rRNA from 1 species